UCCGGUUGAUCCCGCCGGAGGCUACUGCUAUCAGGGUUCGGCUAAAACAUGCAAGCCAUUGCAGCAAUGCAAGGCGAACUGCUCAGUAACACGUAGUUAACAUGCCCUAGAGCGGGGGAUAACCCCGGGAAACUGGGAAUAAUACCCCAUAGGCGAUUAUUGCUGGAACGCAUUUUCGCUCAAAGCUUCGGCACUCGGAUUGGACUGCGGCGGAUUAGAUUGUUGUUGGGGUAAUUGCCCAACAAGUCGAUAAUCCGUACGGGUCGUGAGAGCGAUAGCCCGGAGUUGCACUCUGAGACAUUAGUGCAGGCCCUACGGGGCGCAGCAGUUGCGAAACCUCCACAAUGCCUGAAAGGGUGAUGGGGGGACCCUGAGUGACUUGCAAAGUCCAAGUCUUUUGCCAACUUUAGACAGGUUGGCGAAUAAGUGGUGGGCAAUACGGGUGCCAGCCGCCACGGUAAUACCCGAGCCACGAGUGGUAGCCACGAUUAUUGGGCCUAAAGCAUCCGUAGCCGGCUCGCUGGGUCUUUUGUGAAAUCCUGCAGUAAACUGAGGAAUUGCUAAAGAAACUAACGAGCUUGGGACCGGGAGAGGUCAGAGGUACUUUACGGGUAAGGGUAAAAUCUUCUGAUCCGUAAAGGACCACCUGUGGCGAAGGCGUCUGACUAGAACGGGUCCGACGGUGAGGGAUGAAAGCUAGGGGAGCAACCUGGAUUAGAUACCCAGUUAGUCCUAGCUGUAAACGAUGCCCACUUGGUGUUGCGGAACUUUCGUGGUUCUGCAGUGCCGGAGCGAAGGCGUUAAGUGGGCCGCCUGGGGAGUAUGCACGCAAGUGUGAAACUUAAGGGAAUUGGCGGGGGAGCACUACCAGGAGUGGAGGCUGCGGUUCAAAUGGAUUCAACGCC
rnacentral:rRNA from 1 species